rnacentral:rRNA from 1 species
GACGAACGCUGGCGGCGUGCCUAACACAUGCAAGUCGAACGGAGUUGACCUUCGGGUUAACUUAGUGGCGAACGGGUGAGUAACGCGUGAGAAACCUGCCUUUCAGUGGGGGACAACAGUUGGAAACGACUGCUAAUACCGCAUAAUGUCAUUUGGGGGCAUCCUCGAAUGACCAAAGAUUUAUUGCUGAAAGAUGGUCUCGCGUCUGAUUAGCUAGAUGGCGGGGUAACGGCCCACCAUGGCGACGAUCAGUAGCCGGUCUGAGAGGAUGAACGGCCACAUUGGGACUGAGAUACGGCCCAGACUCCUACGGGAGGCAGCAGUGGGGAAUAUUGGGCAAUGGGCGAAAGCCUGACCCAGCAACGCCGCGUGAAGGAAGAAGGCCUUCGGGUUGUAAACUUCUUUUACCAGGGACGAAAUUUGACGGUACCUGGAGAAAAAGCAACGGCUAACUACGUGCCAGCAGCCGCUGUAAUAC